rnacentral:rRNA from 1 species
GACAAUAAAAAUUACGUUUAAAAAGUCACUCUGAUCUCGGAAGCUAAGCAGGGUCAGGCCUGGUUAAUACUUGGAUGGGAGACCACCCAGGAAGACCAGGUGCUGUAGGCA